AUUGAACGCUGGCGGCAGGCCUAACACAUGCAAGUCGAGCGGAUGCAGGGAGCUUGCUCCUGGAUUCAGCGGCGGACGGGUGAGUAAUGCCUAGGAAUCUGCCUGGUAGUGGGGGAUAACGUCCGGAAACGGGCGCUAAUACCGCAUACGACCUGAGGGAGAAAGUGGGGGAUCUUAGGACCUCACGCUAUCAGAUGAGCCUAGGUCGGAUUAGCUAGUUGGUGGGGUAAAGGCCUACCAAGGCGACGAUCCGUAACUGGUCUGAGAGGAUGAUCAGUCACACUGGAACUGAGACACGGUCCAGACUCCUACGGGAGGCAGCAGUGGGGAAUAUUGGACAAUGGGCGCAAGCCUGAUCCAGCCAUGCCGCGUGUGUGAAGAAGGUCUUCGGAUUGUAAAGCACUUUAAGUUGGGAGGAAGGGCAGUAAGUUAAUACCUUGCGUUUUUGACGGUACCAACAGAAUAAGCACCGGCUAACUUCGUG
rnacentral:rRNA from 1 species